rnacentral:rRNA from 1 species
AGUGAACGCUGGCGGUAGGCCUAACACAUGCAAGUCGAACGGCAGCACAGUAAGAGCUUGCUCUUACGGGUGGCGAGUGGCGGACGGGUGAGGAAUACAUCGGAAUCUACUUUUUCGUGGGGGAUAACGUAGGGAAACUUACGCUACUACCGCAUACGACCUACGGGUGAAAGCAGGGGAUCUUCGGGCCUUGCGCGAUUGAAUGAGCCGAUGUCGGAUUAGCUAGUUGGCGGGGUAAAGGCCCACCAAGGCGACGAUCCGUAGCUGGUCUGAGAGGAUGAUCAGCCACACUGGAACUGAGACACGGUCCAGACUCCUACGGGAGGCAGCAGUGGGGAAUAUUGGACAAUGGGCGCAAGCCUGAUCCAGCCAUACCGCGUGGGUGAAGAAGGCCUUCGGGUUGUAAAGCCCUUUUGUUGGGAAAGAAAAGCAGCAGGUUAAUACCCCGCUGUUCUGACGGUACCCAAAGAAUAAGCACCGGCUAACUUCGUG